rnacentral:rRNA from 1 species
UACGUAGGGUGCGAGCGCUAAUCGGAAUUACUGGGCGUAAAGGGUGCGCAGGCGGCUCCGCAUGUCGGGCGUGAAAUCCCCGGGCUUAACCUGGGAAUUGCGUCCGAAACUAUGGAGCUGGAGUGUGGCAGAGGGAGGUGGAAUUCCACGUGUAGCGGUGAAAUGCGUAGAGAUGUGGAGGAACACCGAUGGCGAAGGCAGCCUCCUGGGCCAACACUGACGCUCAUGCACGAAAGCGUGGGGAGCAAACAGG